AACCAUAGUUUAUGUACUUAACCAAACCCUGUACCUUCUCCAUUCAUUCAUUCCUUGUUCCCAAGAGUCAAAAAAAGAAAAAAAGAAUUCAAAACCCUAAUCUUCAAAAGUCGUCUCCUUCGCCUCUGCGGUUUCAACCUCGAUCUCCCAAUUGACAAAGGGAAGAUGAGUAGCCGUGCGAGCCGAACCCUCUAUGUGGGUAAUCUUCCAGCUGAUAUUCGUGAAAGAGAAGUGGAGGAUUUGUUUUACAAGUUUGGACGCAUAGCUCACAUUGAUCUGAAGGUCCCGCCAAGGCCCCCAGGUUAUGCAUUUGUUGAGUUUGAAGAUCCUCAAGAUGCUGAAGAUGCCAUUCGCAACCGUGAUGGCUACGAUUUUGAUGGGCAUCGGCUACGGGUGGAACUUGCACAUGGUGGCCGGGGACAUUCAUCAUCAAGAGAUCGCUAUAGUAGUUAUAGCAGUGGUCGGAGUGGACGUGGUGGAGUAUCCAGGCGCUCUGAAUUUCGUGUUCUUGUUAGUGGAUUGCCUCCUUCUGCUUCAUGGCAAGACCUUAAGGAUCACAUGCGACAAGCUGGGGAUGUUUGUUUUUCCCAAGUUUUCCGUGAUGGUAACGGCACAACAGGGAUUGUGGAUUACGCAAACUAUGAAGACAUGAAGUAUGCACUAAAAAAACUUGAUGAUUCUGAGUUCCGGAAUGCAUUUUCUCGGGCAUAUGUUCGAGUUAGGGAAUAUGAUUCAAGGAGGGAUUCCUCUAGGAGCCCUAGUCGUGGUCGAUCUUACUCAAGAGGCAGGAGUUACAGCCGUAGUCGUAGCCAUAGUCGUAGCCGGGGCAGGAGCCUGAGCAAGUCUCCAAAAACCAAACCUUCGCGCCGCUCACCUGUCAAAUCUCGGUCGAGGUCUGCUUCUCGCUCUCGCUCUGCUUCAAAGCCGCGUUCUUUGUCUGGAUAUGGAUACAUGCAGCGAAGUGGGGAUUGGAUAUUAGGAUCUUGAUGGGAUAGUUCAGUUGCCUGCAACUCUUUUGGUUGUGGAGAUUGGGAACAAAGGAGAUCAUGGUUGCAAAAGUAAAGCUGGAUAUCUCUGAACUAAGUGCCAUUGGGAUUUGGAUAUCACCAUCAAUGAGCAAUAGGGACAAUUUCAUUAUCAUCUUCUGCUCCAACAUUUGCCAAGCUAAUAGGCGCACUAUCUGGCUUCUGUGGAUUUUUGUGGUACAGUAGGGAAAAAUUCUCCUCUCUGUCCACUGGUGUCUUAAAAAUACAUUGUGAUGCUUUCAUUAAGGUUAUCUCUUUAUAAAUUUAGGUCAUGUUUAUAGGCAAGAAUUAUAUGAAUUGGCCUGAUAAUUUUUCUCUGUUGAAUUGCUAAAUAUUUAUGGCUUUUCCAUGUAUCCACAUUGGAUAUGGUAACACUGACGUGGAAGAGGCAUCAAGGAUCUUGGAUCAAAUUUGGUAAAAGGAACGUGUGGAUUUUAAAAUGGGUUGUUUCUGGAACUUUUUGCAGAUCACGAUCAAGGUCCAGAUCUCCAUUGCCUUCGCGUCCAAAACGUAUGAGUAAAAGCCCAAAGAAGCGCAGUCCAAGCAGGAGCCCAAGCAGGAGCAGGAGCAGGAGCAAGAGUUUAUCCAGGUAAGAGAUAUGAUUGCUGCUGAUGUAAUUCCUGAAAGUUUGAUAAGGGUGAGGUUUUUUAACUUCAUCGGCAAAUCCUAGCAGUUGUAGGCCUAUUAUAUGAACAGACUUAUCAGACUGGAGUUGGAUUUUAAACUAUCAACAUGUUAUUUAAAUCCUUGUGAAUCCUUGAAUUGGAACUUAAACGUUUACCGUGUUGCUCUAUUGCACAAGAGAUUUGCCAAAUUCCAGCUUAACGUAUAUUUAUGGUGGUGGAUAUUGAUACUUCGUUCUUUUUAUUUGUGGAACCAUAUGCUGUAACAAGUCUUAGGUAAUUAUUAUUCGACGCUUCAUAGUGGUCAUUAGCUUUA